ACACAGAAAGGGCCAAGGAAGUCUUGUGGACAGACCUGUAGGGUUUCCAGCAUUUCAACCUUCUCGUUCUGACUUUUAGGAGAGAAAGCGAAAGGCCCGUGUCUCCCCGUGCAAGCUGCCGGGCUGUGUCCCCGGCGGGAGACCCGCCUCUCGCGCUGAGCCUCGGUGCCGCGGGGUCAGGGUGGCCACGGCGGGCCGCAGAGCGCGCUCAGCCGGAAUGCGGCCGAGAUGUUCCCGGGGCCGUCUGGAGCAGUCUUCCCCGGAGCUCGCCUCCAGCAGGGGGAGGCUGCCAGGACUGAUUUUCCACUGUGCGAAGGAACGCUCUGGAAGGAAGGAGGUGGCCACGUGGACUGGAGCCCCGGUUCCCGGCCAAGCCUUCCAACAAUCCUUCGCAUUCUGGUGAGCGAAGCCGUGUCCUCGUGUUGUCCCAGGGCUGCGGGGCCACCGCCCCGUCAGCAAAGUCAGGCAGCCCCACGGCUCGGACUUGCUUCCUACCGCAGGGCGCACUGUGUCCGGUGGGGAAGGCCACGCAGAGAGAGACGGUUACACGCCCACGGUCACGCUGCAGAGGUGGUCGUGAUCGUUCACGGAGCCCUUCUGCUGUGCCCGGAAGCUUGUAAAGGUGACCUUAUUUAACACUUGAAACGGACUUUGCGGCCUUGUUUUAUAGACAAGGAAACCGAACUGAGAGAAGCUAAGGAACCUGUGUAGGGCCGCCCAGCUACAAGAGAAGCAGGGUUUCCACCUGUGUUGACGGAUCGUGUUUCCACGUGGUUUCCGCUGUGGGCAGCAGAGGGUCUCAGGCCUGGCAUCAGAGAAGUCUGCCAGGGAGCGAGGCCCUGGGACAGACAGAGGCUGAAAACUCAACGGCUUUUCAUCGAGGGCCCUCCAGGAACCCAGCUUGAAAGCACGUAGGCCUCCCCGUGAACCAGAGAGGUUUCUGGGCCACAGAAUUGGCAAAGGGCGGCAGAAAAGCAGGGCAGAAGGAAGACGCAUUUCAAAGGACGGUCAAGAAUUUGCUGCUCAGGAAAUAUUUCUGGAAAAGUUCAAUGGGGCGUCCUGUGGAAUCUCAAAUAUUCCACAUUUAAGAGGAAGGAAGGCCGUUGGCUCUUUGGCGUGUGAUCCAGCCGCCCGGAGAAGCCCCUCAGGCCGCGCUUGGGCGCCUGUCCCCGGCCCUGACGCGCCUCCCACUGCUGCUUCUCCGGGACAUCGUGUAGGCGGAACAAGACAGGACACAGGCCCAAAGCAGCCGCAGUAAAGGUCGCCCGAGAAGAGUGAGCCAUGGAGGGCGGCUUCCUUCCACAGCGUGAGGCCCUUGGGGACCGUCCCUGUUCGUCACAUCAUGGGACGUGGCCUUGUUUGUCUCUCUGUUCACCCACUGAGGUCAUGCGCCUUGUUUCACGUUUAUGUCCUGUGCCAAAUGUGGUGAGUCGUCAGCCACCGUUUCUCCGGAUGCCCGUCACUCCCUCUCCCCGGACUCCGGCGACACAAUCCUUAGACCCUCUGCUGUUUCCCCGCAGAUCUGCGACUCUCUGUUCACUUCCUUCCUUUUUUAUUUUUUUAUUUCUUUUUUUACUUUUCCCUUUUUAGUUGUAUUUUCUUAUUGAGACAAAAUUCAUAUAACAUCAAAGUCACCAUCUUA